rnacentral:rRNA from 1 species
UACGUAGAGUGCGAGCGUUAAUCGGAAUUACUGGGCGUAAAGCGUGCGCAGGCGGUUCGUUAAGUCAGCUGUGAAAGCCCCGGGCUCAACCUGGGAACUGCGGUUGAAACUGGCGAACUAGAAUCUGGCAGAGGGGGGUGGAAUUCCACGUGUAGCAGUGAAAUGCGUAGAGAUGUGGAGGAACACCGAUGGCGAAGGCAGCCCCCUGGGCUAAGAUUGACGCUCAGGCACGAAAGCGUGGGGAGCAAACAGG